rnacentral:rRNA from 1 species
UUUUGUUUAUAGUAAUUUCUGCCCGGUGGAAUUUUAACGGCCGCGGUACUCUGACCGUGCAAAGGUAGCAUAAUCAUUUGCUCUUUUAUUGGGGGCUGGAAUGAAUGGUAUAACGAGAUCUUGACUGUCUCUUUUUUUAAGGUGGAAUUUGCUGUUUUUGUGAAGAAGCAGGGGUGUGGGAGAAAGAACAAGAAGACCCUUUUAAGCUUAACCUGUUUUUUGUGCUUGUUUUGUUUUAUAAAUAGAUAUGUAUUUUUCAAGGGGUUUAAUUGGGGUGAUUAAAAAAGACUUAAUCUUUUUUUUAAGGAUAACUUAUUUGUUUAAGAGAGAGCCAAAGGUUUUGAAAAGAAGAAGAAGUUACUAUAGGGAUAACAGCGUAAUUUUUUCUGAGAGUUCUUAUCGAAAAAAAAGAUUGCGACCUCGAUGUUGACUUAUUGUGUCCCAU